rnacentral:rRNA from 1 species
GACGAACGCUGGCGGCGUGCUUAACACAUGCAAGUCGAACGGAAAGGCCCCUUUGGGGGUCCUCGAGUGGCGAACGGGUGAGUAACACGUGAGUAACCUGCCCUUGACUUCGGGAUAACUUCAGGAAACUGGGGCUAAUACCGGAUAGGAAUCCUUGCUGCAUGGUGGGGGUUGGAAAGCUUCGGCGGUUUUGGAUGGACUCGCGGCUUAUCAGCUUGUUGGUGGGGUAGUGGCUUACCAAGGCUUUGACGGGUAGCCGGCCUGAGAGGGCGACCGGCCACAUUGGGACUGAGAUACGGCCCAGACUCCUACGGGUGGCAGCAGUGGGGAAUAUUGCACAAUGGGCGGAAGCCUGAUGCAGCAACGCCGCGGGCGGGAUGACGGCCUUCGGGUUGUAAACCGCUUUCAGCAGGGGCGAAGCUUGUGGUGACGGUACCUGCAGAAGAAGCACCGGCUAACUACGUG